UUGCAGUGAGCUGAGCCACUGCACUCCAGCCUGGGCAACAGAACAAGACUCUGUCUCAAAAAAAAAAAAAAAAAAAAUUGGAGAGAGUAAAAUAGGGAGGCAGUGAAAUUGUUGAGAAAGUAGAUCUAUUUCCUGUUCACCUUUUUCUUCCUUCUGCUGUUCCCUGGAAUCCUUACCCUAGCAUGUUAGUCUUUCUUUUCCCUCUUCUAGCAGUCUUCUGGGAUGCCCUUCCCACUGAUCCUAUUCCAGACUGGCCACUUUCUCCUUUCUUCACCAGUUCUUCUGUGUUGAUGGCUGCAUAAGGAUUCUGCAACAUUGUUUAUCUCUGUCUCAGCUAAACUGGGAAGUCCCCAAGUUGGACAGACUUUUCUUUGAAUCCUAGCAAUACGUUUGGAAUGCAGUUUUUAUAUAGGCCCCUACUCUCUGCUGGGGUUAGCUGAUAAUCAUGUCACUGAUCGGUCUCAUUGAUGUGUCGUGUCAGGUAGGAGUAAAUGUUAGACCCUACCUGUCCUGAGUGGCAGGUCUGAUUAUAAAUCCAUUUUCACACUUUCGAGGUCUGGGAGGGGCUGAACGUGGUGAAGACAGGCCGAGUGAUGCUUGGGGAGACCAAUCCAGCAGAUUCAAAGCCAGGCACCAUUCGUGGGGACUUCUGCAUUCAGGUUGGCAGGAACAUCAUUCAUGGCAGUGAUUCAGUAAAAAGUGCUGAAAAAGAAAUCAGCCUAUGGUUUAAGCCUGAAGAACUGGUUGACUACAAGUCUUGUGCUCAUGACUGGGUCUAUGAAUAAGAGG
rnacentral:lncRNA from 10 species